rnacentral:misc_RNA from 3 species
CUGCCCUCAAGCACGGCUUGUGUGUUGGGCUCCGUCCCCCCGGGGACGGGUCCGAAAGGCAGCGGCGGCACCGAGUCCGGUCCUCGAGCGUAUGGGGCUUUGUCACCCGCUCUGUAGGCCCGGCCGGCGCCAGCCGACAACCAAUCAUCCUUUUUUCA